AUUGAACGCUGGCGGCAUGCCUUACACAUGCAAGUCGAACGGUAACAGCACUUCGGUGGCUGACGAGUGGCGAACGGGUGAGUAAUACAUCGGAACGUGCCCGAGAGUGGGGGAUAACGCAGCGAAAGCUGUGCUAAUACCGCAUACGAUCUACGGAUGAAAGCAGGGGACCGCAAGGCCUUGCGCUCAUGGAGCGGCCGAUGGCAGAUUAGGUAGUUGGCGGGAUAAAAGCUUACCAAGCCGACGAUCUGUAGCUGGUCUGAGAGGACGACCAGCCACACUGGGACUGAGACACGGCCCAGACUCCUACGGGAGGCAGCAGUGGGGAAUUUUGGACAAUGGGGGAAACCCUGAUCCAGCCAUGCCGCGUGCAGGAUGAAGGCCUUCGGGUUGUAAACUGCUUUUGUACGGAACGAAAAGGUCCUUUCUAAUAAAGAGGGCUCAUGACGGUACCGUAAGAAUAAGCACCGGCUAACUACGUG
rnacentral:rRNA from 1 species